rnacentral:rRNA from 1 species
UACGUAGGGGGCAAGCGUUGUCCGGAAUCAUUGGGCGUAAAGAGCGUGUAGGCGGCCCGGUAAGUCCGCUGUGAAAGUCCAGGGCUCAACCCUGGGAUGCCGGUGGAUACUGUCGGGCUCGAGUCCGGAAGAGGAGUGUGGAAUUCCUGGUGUAGCGGUGAAAUGCGCAGAUAUCAGGAGGAACACCAAUGGCGAAGGCAGCACUCUGGGACGUGACUGACGCUGAGACGCGAAAGCGUGGGGGCGAAACAGG